rnacentral:rRNA from 1 species
CAGCUAGUUGGUGAGGUAAGAGCCCACCAAGGCGACGAUCGGUAGCUGGUCUGAGAGGACGAUCAGCCACACUGGGAUUGAGAACGGCCCAGACUCCUACGGGGGGCAGCAGUGAGGAAUUUUCCGCAAUGGUCGCAAGACUGACGGAGCAACGCCGCGUGCAGGAGGACGCUUUUCGGAGUGUAAACUGCUUUUCUGUGGGAAGAGGAUGGACGGUACCACAGGAAGAAGCCCCGGCUAACUACGUGCCAGCAGCCGCGGUAAUACGUAGGGGGCGAGCGUUGUCCGGAGUUACUGGGCGUAAAGGGCACGCAGGCGGUGCGGCGCGUUUCGCGUGACAGCGGAGGGCUUACCUCUCCGAGGAUGCGAAAGACGGUGGCACUUGAGGGCCAGAGAGGGACACGGAAUUCCGGGUGGAGUGGUGAAAUGCGUAGAGAUCCGGAGGAACACCGAAGGCGAAGGCAGUGUCCUGGCUGGUGACUGACGCUGAGGUGCGAAAGCUAGGGGAGCGAACGGGAUUAGAUACCCCGGUAGUCCUAGCCGUAAACGAUGACCACCAGGUG